CCUACGGGGGGCAGCAGUGAGGAAUAUUGGUCAAUGGGCGAGAGCCUGAACCAGCCAAGUCGCGUGAGGGAUGAAGGAUCUAUGGUUUGUAAACUUCUUUUAUAUGGGAAUAAAGUGAGGAACGCGUUCCUUUUUGUAUGUACCAUAUGAAUAAGCAUCGGCUAACUCCGUGCCAGCAGCCGCGGUAAUACGGAGGAUGCGAGCGUUAUCAGGAUUUAUUGGGUUUAAAGGGUGCGUAGGUGGUUAAUUAAGUCAGCGGUGAAAGUUUGUGGCUCAACCAUAAAAUUGCCGUUGAAACUGGUUGACUUGAGUAUAUUUGAGGUAGGCGGAAUGCGUGGUGUAGCGGUGAAAUGCAUAGAUAUCACGCAGAACUCCGAUUGCGAAGGCAGCUUACUAAACUAUAACUGACACUGAAGCACGAAAGCGUGGGGAGCAAACAGGAUUAGAUACCCGAGUAGUC
rnacentral:rRNA from 1 species